GGGUUGUGAGGUUAAGCGACUAAGCGUACACGGUGGAUGCCCUGGCAGUCAGAGGCGAUGAAGGGCGUGCUAAUCUGCGAUAAGCGCCGGUAAGGUGAUAUGAACCGUUAUAACCGGCGAUACCCGAAUGGGGAAACCCAGUGUGACUCGUCACACUAUCAUUAACUGAAUCCAUAGGUUAAUGAGGCGAACCGGGGGAACUGAAACAUCUAAGU
rnacentral:rRNA from 2 species